GAUGAACGCUAGCGGCAGGCCUAAUACAUGCAAGACGAACGGUAAGUUGAGUAGCAAUACUUAGCCAAGAGUGUCGUACGGGUGCGUAACACGUAUGCAACCUACCCUAUACAGGAGGAUAGCCUAGGGAAACCUGGAUUAACCCUUCAUAGUAUUAUUGGAUGGCAUCAUUUGAUAAUUAAAACUGAGGUGGUAUAGGAUGGGCAUGCGUCUGAUUAGUUAGUUGGCGGGGUAAGUGGCCCACCAAGACGAUGAUCAGUAGGGGUUCGUGAGAGGAAGAUCCCCACACUGGCACUGAGAUAACGGG
rnacentral:rRNA from 1 species